rnacentral:siRNA from 1 species
AGCAUGCCACAAACAAACGAAUGG